CAAUAAUCAGUGAAUAUUUAGGUAUAUUAAGUGCACCCACACUUAUUAUAGUGGAAAAUGUAUUCAUACUUACCGUAAUUUUCUUUUCCUGGCUAUUAUUCAUGGCAGCAUAUACACAUUGGGUUAGCUCCUCCCCUUACAGCCGAUAGGACAGGAAAACCACCAAGGUUUUAAAAGGAGGCUCCAUGCCUAAGGUCCUCAGUCAAUUUACAAGCUCUACAGCACAUAAAUAGAGACAUUAAUGGGUGGGAAAUCUAUGCUGCCAUGAAUAAUAGCCAGGAAAAGAAAAUUACGGUAAGUAUGAAUACAUUUUCCACUUUCCUGGCUAAUCAUGGCAGCAUAUACACAUGGGGAAUACCCAAGCUUACAAAGGGAGGGACAGAAUAGCCAAUCAAAUAAUCAGAAUAAUUCAACAUAGAUAGAAGAAUGAACUGAGUUAAGUACUUGAGUACCAAAUUGUGCAUCAUAGGACUAUUUUAAAGAACAGCAUGAAAUGCCAGACAAACGUGUCUAAAGAGGUUCAAAUGCUAGCUUACAAAAAGUGUCAGCAGAAACCAUUGCCAUGGAAACCCAUGAUGCUGCAACAGCAUGAGGAGAGUGCCCUGAUACCUUUCAGCACAGGUAGAGAACGGACAAGACGUCCAAAUUGUGCCUCAUUAAUUGCUUUAAUAUCCAAUAUUUAAUGCAGGACAAACUAGUUCAAAGAGGUCCAAAUGCCAACUUUACAAAGUUUCAACACCAUUGCCAUGGAAGUCCACGAGACGCUGUAACAGCACUAGUGGAGAAUGCCCCAAAAUCCUUUGGUACAGGUAGAGAAUGGCAUUGAAAGGCUCUCACUGUAGGCAGAAUCUCUGGUGCUACAUGCAAGACAACCAUAUCCUGUUGAAAUUCAGUGAAUGGGGGCACACAGGAUCAAGCCUGAAGUUCACACAUUCACCCUGCUGAUGUACCAGUCACCAGCAACAGCAACAUCUGUGCUAACAUCAUGGAAGCUCCUGCUAGAGGUUCAAAUGAUGGUUUAGUCAGAGCCUGUGAGACCAGUGGUACGUCACAUAUUGGUUGCUUGAAGCAAAGCACCAGGGGCAUCAACACUCAAUCGGUACCCUUCAGUACAGGUAGAGAAUGACAUAGAUAAGCAUUCACCAUAGGCAGGAUCUUCAGGUGCCAUAUGCAAGACAACUAUAUCUGUUGAAAAGUAGUGAAAGGGGGUUCACAGAAUCAAGCCUGGAGUUCACCCAUUUUCCUUGCUGGGGUACCAGCCACCAGCACUUUCUGUACUACCACCAUGUAAACUCCUUCUAGAGGUUCGAAAAAUGGUUUAGUCAGGGCCCGUGAGACCAGUGGUACGUCACAUAUUGGCUUCACCACACUCAGUGGAGGCAUGAUUUCAAUCAAUGCCUAUAUGAAGCAAAGUGCAGCUAAGUGCUCCUCUAGAGUGUUAUAACACAGAACCUUUCAAGGCCUGAACGAGGAGUAAUUCCAACAGACAAAAGCAUGUCAAGCCUUGUAAAGCCUGUAUAGGAUUGGAAGAGGAUCUCAAUGACCGUCUCAGGGAUGCCCAUACUAAUAUGGACUCCCGCAUCAACACCAGAACUUGAGGAUCCUGGUGUGUCAAGGGGCCUUGUAAUAGGUCUGGACGUACUGGAAUUUCCCUUGGAGGUCCCAGAAUCAUCUUAUUCAUCAUAGGAAUUAGAGUCAACACGAUCUUCCACUGUCACCUUUUGCAUUGCCUUUUUAGGAAAGUCGAAAACAGGAAAAUAAAAUUCUAAAUUUCUAAAUUUGAGUCAGUGUAUCCUGAACCUGAGCAUUCUGGUAAGUAAGCAUCCUUAAGAUAUAUAGAGGUAAGGAAAUUAUCCUUCCAGAUUGCUUGAGAUAUGGAUCUGAUUGACUGCAUCCCAAAGACUCUGACAUUCAGCCUCUUGUUGGCCCCUCUUAGGUCCAGUGUAGCCUUCCAUGUGCUUUUCCUCUAGCACCAGAAGAGAGGCAAAACUUGUCCCUGGAACUGCUCUUGUUCUGGGACCUAAAAAAAAAAUCACCUCUUCAUCCAGAAGGCUUCUUCCUUCAGUGCUUUACCUUUUGAUUCAUUGGUCUUAAUACUCCAGUUGGUAUGGAGACUCCUGUGCCUGAAGAAAAAAACUCCAGUCUAUAUCAAUCUGGACUAUGGAUAUCACUCAAGCCUCCAGAGUAUGACGAGCCCAGGUAUGUGUGAUCAGAAAGAUGAGGCUCCUAGUACUGGAGGAGAUAUGUUCAUUGCUGAAGAGCAAAACGACUGCGUUAUAGCUCCAUUAGAACCUUGAAAGGCAGGUUUACCAACUGCCAUGAGUUACCUCUGGAGUAUUCCCUGCAGGGCCAGUAGCUCCAUAUAUCUCAGAAAUACUGGUCACUGGAGGUUCACCGGUCAGACUAUGAGGAGCUGGGAUCCUUGGAACUUCCGUCCUGAGGUACAAAUAUCUUGCAGCCCUAGGGUAGUUUCUGUGAAGAAGUCAGUUAUAACCUGAAGACUUCAGACUGCCUCUUCAAUCUUGGCUUUAAUAUCUCUCUCCAUAGUAGCCGUUAUAGCUUUAAUCACAUAUUUCAUGUUUGUAGAAACAGCAGCGGAAGUCACAGCUGGCUGGCCUCCUGCAAUGAUAGGCAUAACAUUUUGGACAGGUCUGCAUCCACCUAUGAUCCAUAAGUUUGCAACUUAGGUGGUGUAGUUCUGGGUUUGGAAAUAACUUCCUCCACAGGGUAAAGCCUGGCCUCUUUUCCUACCCCUAAGGCCUCUGGAACUUACUUUGUAAGCCCUGCCCGCAUGUCAUGUGGCUGCACAGUGAUAGGUCAUGCUGAAGCGGCAACCUUCUGGAGGAAGUCAGUGCAUAAUCGAUUCCUUGCACUGUUUUCUCCUGAUAACCAGAUCCUGGUGAAGAAUCAGACAUCUGACAAAUAAUAACUUAAUAUUACCUGUGGUAAAGUAUUAAGUAAAAAAGUGCACUGUUAAAUUCUGUAAGAAACCAGUGAAACAGCUUUAAAACAGACUGAAGACAGCACUUAUCCAUGUCUGGAGACCCUGCAAAUACUUAACAAAUAAGUGUGGUAUGUUUACUGUAAUUUUGCCUUUAUUUUAGGAACUUCCUGGCAAUUGCCCUUAUCCAAGAUGGCUGCCACAACUUGUAUUCCCACAAUGCAAGUCAUCUGUAUUAGGCCCAUUAAGGCACAAACUGCACACAUGUGGGUUUAUUCCAAGUGUUUGCUGUUUAGAGACCUCUGUCUGAAGCCUACAUGGCCCCUAAACAUCCAGGGAACCGGUGUUCUAUCAAAAAACCCUACCCCGUUAGAAUUCCCUACCCACGUCACUUCCGGUGAUGCGGCCGCACCGGAAGUGACGUUCGCCAAUUAAGGAGGAGGAGGUGUGCCGCACUGGGCAGGCGCAAAACCACAGGGUAGGGAAAUUUCACAGCAAGCGCUGGGGAGAAGGAGGUACCUAUUGCGCAUGCGCCAUACCUGCCAACUGGCUGCCGGCCGUAACUGUGCAUGCUCAGGGAGCCUAACCAGGGGAUACAGGGUAGGGAAAAAUUAUGGGCAAGUGUGCACGCGCGGCUAGCUACUCCUGUCAGCGGGAUACACCACUUGUGCGCACCAGCGGGCAGGGAGAUCUCAUACCGAACAUCCAUCCGAUCUCCCUGCCCCACACUGCGCACGCACAGACCCAGCUAUCACAGCCUGACAUACGGACACCACGCGUGCGCAGUGUGGGGCAGGGAGAUCUGAUGGACACUUUCACUGUGAAAUCUCCCUACCCCUCAGUUCGCACACGCGGUGUCUGAUCAUCUGGAGCAUCCUGACUGUCAUCUACCAGGUCAGUCUCUCCCUGCUCCCAACACUCUCAGCCAUGUGGGGUCUGCAGAGUAUAUUGGGGGGGUCUGCGCAUUAUAUGGGGAGCUCUCUGCGCUGUAUAUUGCGGGUGUCUGCGCAGUAUAUGGGGGGCUCUCUGCGUAGUGUAUGGGGGGUGUCUGCGCAUUAUAAUGGGGGGCUCUCAGCGCAGUAUAUUGGGGGGUCUGCAUUUUAUAUUGCGGGUCUGCUCAGUGUAUUGGGGUGUGUGAAGUAUAUUGGGGUGCCCUGUGCGUUAGAUGUGAGGGGGCAGUGUAUUAUAUUUGGGGGAUGUGCGUUAGAUGGGGAGCUGUACCGUUCGUGUGGCCUGUGUGUUAGAUGUGUACAACCCUAGUUUCACAAAAAAAUAUUUAUUUCCUAUAUAUAUACCAUGGCAUGCUUUUUGCUACGAAACCGCAGCCAUCUAGUCACUCACCAGAGAAGGAUGAGAAACUGCACCCCAGCCAGAGGGACUGCCCCACAUCUGCAACCAAAUCCGUUGGUCACCGAAUUCAGUAAUCUCUGUCUUUUUGUCCAUUCUGUAUGUAUGGUACUCCCACUUCUUAUAUUUAAUCCAGUGUGUCUCCCACAAUCUUUGUGUCUGUUUGCUGUAUGUAUGUGGCACGCAAGUCUGCAUGCACUGUGUCUUUUAUGCCAUUUACUCUAACCAGUUUUUCUUUUGGUUUUUUGUGUGUGUCACAACUUUGACAAGCCUGUUCUUCUAUGGGACACGAAGUAAAUGAAGAGGAAUAAAGAAGCCCAUGUUUGAUGCUCGUCUCCAGGGUGGAGUAUUGAAUUUAUAAGUACUGAAGUGGCAUCUGGCACUUGACAAGAUUCUCCUGUUUGCACAGCGACUUCAAUAUUGUGUACUGUGAUCACGGACUAGUUCAGAGGUAGGUAACCUUGGGCAGUCCAAAUGCUGUGAAUUAAAUCUCCCAUAAUGCUGGCAAAGCAUUAUGGAAGGUGUAGUCCAAAACAUCUGGAAUAUCGAAUGCG